rnacentral:rRNA from 1 species
GACGAACGCUGGCGGCGUGCUUAACACAUGCAAGUCGAACGAUGAAGAAAAGAAUCGAAGCUUCGGCAGAAAUUCAUUUCGGAUUAGUGGCAGACGGGUGAGUAACGCGUGAGCAACCUACCUCUUACAAAGGGAUAGCCUCGGGAAACCGGGAUUAAUACCAUAUAACAUUGUGACGAAGCAUUUCGAUGCAAUCAAAGCUACGGCGGUAAGAGAUGGGCUCGCGUCCCAUUAACCGGAUGGUGAGGUAACGGCUCACCAUAGUGACGAUGGGUAACCGGCCUGAGAGGGUGAACGGUCACACUGGAACUGAGACACGGUCCAGACUCCUAAGGGAGGCAGCAGUGGGGAAUAUUGCACAAUGGAGGGAACUCUGAUGCAGCGACGCCGCGUGAGUGAUGAAGGAAUUCGUUUCGUAAAACUCUGUUCUAUGGGAAGAAAAGGACUGUACCAUAGGAGAAAGCUCCGGCUAAAUACGUG